UACGGAGGGUGCGAGCGUUAAUCGGAAUAACUGGGCGUAAAGGGCACGCAGGCGGAUUUUUAAGUGAGGUGUGAAAUCCCCGGGCUCAACCUGGGAACUGCAUUCGAAACUGGCAGGCUGGAGUCUUGUAGAGGGGGGUAGAAUUCCAGGUGUAGCGGUGAAAUGCGUAGAGAUCUGGAGGAAUACCGGUGGCGAAGGCGACUUACUGGGCUCAUUCUGACGCUGAGGAACGAAAGCGUGGGUAGCAAACAGG
rnacentral:rRNA from 1 species